rnacentral:rRNA from 1 species
UUCGUGUCUUUAAGACGUGAGUAACGCAGCUAACGCACUAAGUUGACCGCCUGGGGAGUACGGCCGCAAGGUUAAAACUCAAAUGAAUUGACGGGGGCCCGCACAAGCGGUGGAGCAUGUGGUUUAAUUCGAUGCAACGCGAAGAACCUUACCAUCCCUUGACAUCCAGAGAAUUUUCUAGAGAUAGAUUAGUGCCUUCGGGAACUCUGAGACAGGUGCUGCAUGGCUGUCGUCAGCUCGUGUUGUGAGAUGUUGGGUUAAGUCCCGCAACGAGCGCAACCCUUAUCCUUAGUUGCCAGCACUAAGGUGGGAACUCUAGGGAGACUGCCGGUGAUAAACCGGAGGAAGGUGGGGACGACGUCAAGUCAUCAUGGCCCUUACGGGAUGGGCUACACACGUGCUACAAUGGCGCACACAAAGGGCAGCAAGCUAGCGAUAGCAAGCGAAUCUCAAAAAGUGCGUCGUAGUCCGGAUUGGAGUCUGCAACUCGACUCCAUGAAGUCGGAAUCGCUAGUAAUCGUGGAUCAGAAUGCCACGGUGAAUACGUUCCCGGGCCUUGUACACACCGCCCGUCACACCAUGGGAGUGGGCUGCACCAGAAGUAGAUAGCUUAACCUUCGGGAGGGCGUUUACCACGGUGUGGUUCAUGACUGGGGUG